rnacentral:rRNA from 1 species
GACAGAGGGUGCAAACGUUGUUCGGAAUUACUGGGCGUAAAGCGCGUGUAGGCGGCAGGGCAAGUCGGAUGUGAAAUUCCGUGGCUCAAUCACGGAAGUGCACCCGAAACUGCCCAGCUAGAGUCUCGGAGAGGAAGGUGGAAUGCUUGGUGUAGAGGUGAAAUUCGUAGAUAUCAAGCGGAACACCGGUGGCGAAGGCGGCCUUCUGGACGAUGACUGACGCUGAGACGCGAAAGCGUGGGGAGCAAACAGG